rnacentral:rRNA from 1 species
GACGAACGCUGGCGGCGUGCUUAACACAUGCCAGUCGAACGGUGAAGCCCCAGCUUGCUGGAGUGGAUCAGUGGCGCACGGGUGAGUAACACGUGAGCAACCUGCCCCAGACUCUGGAAUAAGCGCUGGAAACGGCGUCUAAUACUGGAUAAGAGAUCACGCCGCGGGGUGGUGGUGUGGAAAUUUUUUCGGUUGGGGAUGGUCUCGCGGCCUAUCAGCUUGUUGGUGAGGUUGUGGCUCACCAAGGCUGCGACGGGUAGCCGGCCCGAGAGGGCGACCGGCCACACUGGGACUGAGACACGGCCCAGACUCCUACGGGAGGCAGCAGUGGGGAAUAUUGCACAAUGGGCGAAAGCCUGAUGCAGCGACGCCGCGUGCGGGAUGACGGCCUUCGGGUUGUAAACCUCUUUCGGCAGGGAAGAAGCGAAAGGGACGGUACCUGCAGAAGAAGCACCGGCUAACUACGUG